UACAGUGGGUGCAAGCGUUAAUCGGAAUUACUGGGCGUAAAGCGCGCGUAGGCCGUCGAGUAAGUCGGUUGUGAAAUCCCCGGGCUUAACCUGGGAAUUGCAGUCGAUACUGCUUGGCUAGAGUGUGGAAGAGGGAAGCGGAAUUUCCGGUGUAGCGGUGAAAUGCGUAGAUAUCGGAAGGAACACCAGUGGCGAAGGCGGCUUCCUGGUCCAACACUGACGCUGAGGCGCGAAAGCGUGGGGAGCGAACAGG
rnacentral:rRNA from 1 species